GACUCUUGCUCCAGCUGAAGAGCAGAGAGGACCGGCUGCCUGGGAGAUCAAGCAGAGUACCUGAGGCAGAGCAGGGCUGGAGAAAGGCAGGCAGAGCUCUGGCCUGAGAAACCCAGCUAGAACAUGGGUGUUAGGUGGAUGGAAUAUGUCCAAGUUUUCCAUUGUAGGCAGUGCACGCAGAGUGAAGGAUGGCUUCCCCCACAUAUUCAGGUGGACUAUCAAAAUUAAGUGGACUGUUGUAGGACAAAAUUUGUUGAUUGCCCUGUCCACUCAUGGAGAAGAAUGUGCAGAAAGCUUUGUCCCAUCGGUUUGAAUGCUGGAAAAGGGAAAUCAAGAUAGCGGACAUUUUUCAUCUCUGCUGUUUGGACUUUGACAAGGGCUGGAGCUAAGAAACAAAAGCAGAAGUCCCUAGGGUCAACCUGGGAUUAGCCCUAAAAGACAUUCGGUCCUGAUUACUACAUCUCUGUCACAUUUUGAAAGGCUAUAUUUAGUUGCAAA